CAGAAUCCAGGACUGCAAACACAGAGGCACAGAGUCCAUAAUGAAGGUCAUCAGGAGGUUUUAGGAUUUAUUUGGCAUUCUUGUGCCAGGUACUGAAAUACAAUAGCACAUGUGGAAGGAGCGUGGUUGGGGUCCUGACCAGGGCAAGGCUCAGUGGCCACUGAUGCUCGAGCUUGCCUCACAGCUUAAUGUCGUGAUUAGGAUUGGCCUCAGGACCAGUUUGGAGAUGCUAGAGCUGGGCAGUCAUGCUCCCAUUUCACAGGAGAUGGGGGCAGGGUUGACACGUCUGUGCUUUCUCAAGGUCACGUUGUGGAUGCUGUAAAAUCAGGUUCUGGGUGAGACCAUCUUUGGCCCUGGAAAGACUGAGACCUGCCCAUGGACAGGGCCCCACGUGGCCACUGGGGACUGUUGGUUCCUACCCCACCGUCCCUCUGCUGGGUUCCCCACCCCGAAGACGUGGGCUCGGCCCCUCAGCAUCACGCCCAGGUAUUCAACCAACCUUGGACCCACUUGGGGCCUCUGAGCAUGAGCUGGGUGCCGGACUGUACCUGGGCUAGGCCAGGGUUAACUACCUACAGUGGCAGCCUGAUUCGUCCCAGAGGGGCUUGCUCAGCAGGCUGGAGCUCUGUCCAGGCAAGAGAGUUCUGGAGGCCGGAGGCUGGAAGCUCAAGAUCCAGGACACACUCUGAUGGUGCCGUCCAGCUGCAUCCUCACAUGACAGAAGGGGUGAGGGAGCCUGCUGGUGUCCCUUUUCCAAGACCACUCAUCCUCAUCCCACUCCCAAGGGCUCCACCCUCAGGACUGAGUCACCUUCCAAAGGCCCCGCUUCCUACACCAGCACCUGAGGGGCCAUGGCUGCCCCUGUGAAUUUUGGGAGGGCCACAGACAUUCAGAUCACAGCAGGUACGAGCUAUCCACAUGACUGAUGGCUGAUGGAUGUUGACCUUGGUCCUCGGCCUGAGGGCAUGUUUGUUGUGUUGUUUCUGCCUGUAAGCCCCAACCCCAUUCCCAUUCUAUAUUCCUUGGAAUGAAAUCAUUAUGUACACCCCACACUUGAGGAAAUGGGUUAUGCUCUAUUUCCUUGAGGCAGCGUAUCUAUGCAAAUUAUCUAGAAUUUGGGGGCAUGGGAGCUUUGCCUAUUGUUCCUCAUUGAUUCCACAGUUUAUUUGUAUGGAUGUGGACUCGCGCAUAUUGAUUUUGUACUUUGGGUUGUAAUCCACUGUGACAUUAUUUAUUACACUUUGCUCAAACGGUUCCACUUUGGCCACAGAGAGCUUUCCCUUGGCCUCUGUGUCCCUGCGACACACCCUGUCUUCGGGUUUUGUUGGAGCACUUGCUUACUUUCUGGCACAAUGAGAUGCUCCAGCCUCAUCUUGUCUAUUUCCUGCCCCAGCUCUAGUGGGAGCAUUUCUCCCCAGGAGCCAUUUCUUCCAGGAGCCCCGGAUCUUUUAAGUGGAGAAUGGCAGAAACCAAAAUCAAGGCACUAGGUGUGCUCACUGCUACUGUGGUGUCAUUGCUUCUAGGCCCUCUCAGCUGACAGAGCAAGGAAAUAGCCGUGUAUCAAAGAAGUCAUGUAUAUAUACAUGUAAACAUCUCUAUGUGUAUCCAUCUCUAUUUGUAUUAAACUAGACAUGAGUUCAUACUGAUGUCUCCUCCACUAACCCACAUGAAUCUUCUAGCCUCUUCCUCUUGCUUCUCUGUGAACUCCCUCUCUAGCACUGAGAAAAAGUGCUACCCACUUUUUCUGGGUGCUACUUUGGGUGCUACCCACCACCCACCCUCCACUCACUUAGCUGUGCAAUGCCAGAAUACACAAAUAGGGGCUUCAUAUUGGUUAAGCCACACCCCUGUGAGAGGCAACUUUUCAACUGGAGAACAGUGCUCACGUGCAGUUCCUUUUCACUGACUUCUUUCACUUAGCAAUACGCGUGUAGGAUUUACGCAUGCCUUGGCAUGGCUUGAUAACUAUUCCUUUUAUUGCUGAAUCGUAUUCCAUUGCAUGGAAGUAUUCGUUUCUUUAUCCACUCACUUAUUAAAGGACAUCUUGGUUGCUUCCUGUUUUGGGUGAGCAUAAAUAAAGCUGCUACCAAC
rnacentral:lncRNA from 1 species